GAGGUUGUGGCUCAGCGGUAGAGCACUUGCCUAGCAUGUGAGAGGCACUGGGUUCAAUCCUCAGCACCACA
rnacentral:tRNA from 1 species